rnacentral:rRNA from 1 species
GACGAAGGAUGCAAGCGUUAUCCGGAUUCAUUGGGUUUAAAGGGAGCGUAGGCGGCCUGGUAAGUCAGUGGUGAAAUCUCGCAGCUUAACUGCGAAACUGCCAUUGAUACUGCUAGGCUAGAGUACAGAUGCUGUGGGCGGAAUAUGACAUGUAGUGGUGAAAUACGUAGAGAUGUCAUAGAACACCGAUUGCGAAGGCAGCUCACAAAACUGUAACUGACGCUGAGGCUCGAAAGUGUGGGGAUCAAACAGG